UUACAGGUGUGAGUCACUGUGCCCAGCGUCAGGGAGGUGUCAUGCUUUGCCUGGUAUCACACCAUUUGUACUUGAGGAUUUGAACCCAGAGCCAUCAGCUUCCUCUUCUUCACAGUACUUGUAUCCACCUCUAUGAUCUCAAACCUUCCCAUGGAAAAUGUCUCAGCUUAUCCCCAAGCAGCUGUUUCCCCACCACAGAUGGAUGCCUGUACUCCUAGCUUCCUGUCACCCCUACUACUUACUUCCCAGAUGCUCGGACAACCUGAAGCUCCUGCUCCCUGAGCCCUAGGGACUGGCUCAGCUCUGGCAGCACUGAGAACAACGUCAGCUCUCCUGGUUUUCCUGGAAAGUAAGAAAGAAAAAUUACAAGAGGCCAAAGCUUCAUGCCUUCACUUUUCCCUCCCUCAGACACGAAACCCCCUUCCGCUGCAUUCCCUUCCCACAUCCCCGGCCCAUACCUGUCACCGGUAGACCCUGUGGCUUGUUCAACGUCACUAGAGGUCCUGAAACAUACAUCACACGAACAUCGGCAAAAGCAACGGUAACCCUUUAUGCAGCACUUAAGAGUUUCCAGAGCACUUUCUCACGCAUCUUAGCACAUGUCCCCAUCAUGACUCUCAGACAUGAGUUAACUACCCCACACCAAAUUCAACUUCUUUCUGUUCCUCUGCCACCUCAGAGCCUCGGCACUUGCUGUUUCCUGUCCCCAAAUUUCCCAGGUCUGGCUCCCUAUCAUCUUGGCUCAAAUGUCACAUCACGGAGAGGUCUGAAUCUCCAAUCUAAUGUCUGCCUUCCUCCUGCAGUUCCUCACCAUCAUAACACCCUGUUUUAGUUUAUGCAUAGCACUUACCACUAGUAACUUGUUCAUUUAUUUUCUGACAUCCAUUUCUCCCGUUAGAGAGAAAUCCAUUUCUCCCCUGAGAGCAGAAACCAUAUCUAUCUUUUUCAGCACUGUAUAGCCUGCCGAGAACAGUGCCUGGAACAUAGCAUAUGUUCAAGAAAUAGUUGAGAAAAGGAAUAAAUCACUGAAUAGAGAGUGGGGUUCAGAGAAAUUCAGUUAUUUUCCUAAAGCCGCACAGCAAGCUGAUCACAGAGCCUAGGUAUGUCUGACUCCAAAGCCUGUGUUUUGUCCGUCGAUAAACAAUCAUUAUUUAUUUAUUUAUUUAUUUAUUUAGACUGAGUCUUGCUCUGUCGCCCCAGGCUGGAGCGCAGUAGCACGAUCUCGGCUCACUGCAACCUCUGCUAUCCGGGUUCAGGUGACUCUCCUGCCUCAGCCUCCCGAGUAGCUGGGAUUACAGGCGGACGCCGCCACACCUGGCUAAUUUUUGUAUUUUUAGUAGAGAGGGGGUUUCACUAUGUUGGCCAGGCUAGUCUCGAACUCCUGACCUCAGGUGAUCCGCCCGCGUCAGCACCCUAAAGUGCCGGGAUUACAGGCGUGAGCCACCGCGGCCAAUAAACAAUAAUCUAGUAUAGCAACUCCCGUAACUGAGCGCCGGCUAUGUGCAAGGCUCGGUAGUUAUUUGCGUCUUCUCCCCCACUCUUAACCCUACUGCAUCAUGGCAGUAGGGUUAAAAGCGGGGAGAGGGUGCAAAUUAGGCGGCUCGUCCCAGCUCAUGCUGCUAGUGGGAGGCAGAAGCAGGGCUGAUCCUGUGGCUUCAAUGGAGAGCCCACCUGCACGCCGAGGCAGUCCCCUCCCGGUCUUUGUGCGGCCGUGCCUCUCACCCCUCACCUUUCCGGUCCACCACGGCUGCCCGCAGCGCAUCAACCAACUCCUCCCGACUGAGGUUUUUUGGCAGCAGCCCCGGGAAGGGCUGGUCCCCGAGGGGCCCCGACCGUUGGCGGGAGCCGCGGGGUUGCCUCUGAUGCCUGGACAAGGAGGGAGAAGCAAUGGGAGUCAUUCCAUCCCGAGGUGCCGCCCAUUCCUAUCUCCGGACGCCUCUUCCCAAAUCCUGCGGCCUCUGACAAAUGCCUCACAAUGUCUGGGCUGACCUCGAAAAUUCAGGGCCCAGCUCCUAACAUGCAGGUGUCACCAGAGAGAGAUGCACCACUGUGCCCAGCACCAUAGCUCUGGCUCAGAGAGUUUGCCUGAGAAAGCAGCAGACAGAAAACAGAAGGUGCGAGUUGCUCCUGAAGGAACUGACUUCAUGUGCAACAGAGCUCGGAGAAUCCAAGGCUAAGCACACUCUCCAGAACAGUGGAGGUUGUGCUGAAAGGCAACUGGGAGGCGACAGAGAGCCUGGGAGGUGCGGGCUACACUGGAGGCCAGCAAGUCUGCCAGAGAGAAACAAAAAAAGACAGCUGGGAAGAGCUCUCCUGGGGUCAGAACAAAGCUUAAUAUCUUCUUUGACAAAGAACGUAACAUCGAAAUAGCCAAUAAUGGGUUUAGUUCAACAUUUGCAAAGAGAGACAACAUUGAAAAGAGAACGUUUAAUGGGACUCUCCCUUAUGCAGGCCCAGAACUCUUCCUGGGCCAUGGGUACCAAUGCCCUGCCAUCAACGUUUGGAGCCUUGGCAUCAUCGUAUGCAAAAUGGUGG
rnacentral:lncRNA from 1 species